rnacentral:rRNA from 1 species
GACGAACGCUGGCGGCGUGCUUAACACAUGCAAGUCGAACGAAGUGGCGAACGGGUGAGUAACGCGUCAUCAUCCUGCCCUUCAGAGGGGGACAACAGUUGGAAACGACUGCUAAUACCGCAUAUUGAAGGUGGGGAUUUCGUCUGAUUAGCUGGUUGGAGGAGUAACUGCCCACCAAGGUGAUGAUAGGUGGCCGGUCUGAGAUGAUGAACGGCCACAAUGGGACUAAGAAAAGGCCCAGACUCCUACGUGAUGCGGCAGUGGGGAUUCUUCAGCAAUGGAAGAAAGUCUGAUGGGGCAACGCCGCGUGAGUGAUGACGGCAUUCGGGUUGUAAAGCUCUGUUAAUCGGGACGCGGUACCGGAAUAGAAAGCCACGGCUAACUACGUGCCAGCCGCCGCGGUAAUAC